GACAGAGGGUGCAAACGUUGUUCGGAAUUACUGGGCGUAAAGCGCGUGUAGGUGGCAAGGCAAGUCGGGUGUGAAAGCCCUGGGCUCAACCCAGGAAGUGCACUCGAUACUGCCUCGCUAGAGUCCCGGAGAGGUUGGUGGAACUCUCGGUGUAGAGGUGAAAUUCGUAGAUAUCGAGAAGAACACCAGUGGCGAAGGCGGCUCACUGGUCCGGUACUGACGCUGAGGUGCGAAAGCGUGGGGAGCAAACAGG
rnacentral:rRNA from 1 species